UUAUUUUUAAAACCGAAGCUCAAAAUUAAAAAUUAUGGCUAUUUUGAUUUUAGGGACUAAAUUCAAUAAAAUGAAAAACUUGAGGGGAAUUCAAAAAAUAGAAUUAAAUAGGUUUAUGCAUAUCAUGAAAUGAUAUAAAAAUGUUCGAUAUUAACGAAUUGUCUAAGAUAAUUAUUUAGAUAAAAAAUUGAAUCAAACCGGAGAUAAUCGGGAAAAAGCUAAAAUUAUCGAAUAGUCCUUGAGGAUUCAAUUUGCUUGUUAUUUUGACCAGGUAAGUUCAUAUAUAACUUACUAUUUUAUUUGAUGCCAUGCUGAAUUGUGUUUAUUUAAUUUAUAUGUUUAUAUUAAAGUUUGUGAUACCCAAUUGUUGCCCGGGCCCAAAACCAUUUGCACAGCCCAAUAAACCAAAUACAUUUGGCCCAAAUGGCCCACAGUUAACCCUAGCCCACAACAUGUUUUCAGCAGCAAUGGAAGCAGAAACUGCAGAUCGCGCCGCUCGCGUGUUCUCCAUCUGCAGCAACGGCCCCAUCACCCACGUUCAGCGAUUCCUCGCAUCCACCAUGCAUGUUCAUCCUACAAAUGAACCAAGAACAGUAUUAUAGAGGAGAUACAGCAAAAAAGGGGGGAGGGUUAUAAAAAGCAAGAGGAUUUCUGUAACAAGUGUUAGAAAAUUUUUGUAUUGAAAACCAUUUAAGAAAAUAAAAAUUGACAAAACAGAAAAGCAAGGAUUUUGAAGGUGAUUUUCUGGGUCUAUUUUUCUUCUUGCUUAUUGAUUUCUUUUCUUUUUUUUUUUCUUUCCUUUGUACACCAAACAAAAAUAAAAGAAAGAGGAGAAAUCCUUACCUAAAGAGGCGCGCCGUCGACAUCUUUAGUUCUCUUCGUCUAAAUCAAAGUUGGAAGGGGGUAGUUCGGCUUGAAAAAUAGAGGAGAGGAUGGAGCAGUUCUUGAGGCUGCUGUUACCGCAAAAGGGAAUAGGGUUUUAACUAGAGUUUGAAAUGGAUUUUAACUUUUAAACAUUGAUGGGUUAUUUGUGUUUUUAAUCCUUCCAUUUUAUCCUAUCAUUUCAAAACCUUUUUUUUUG
rnacentral:lncRNA from 1 species